rnacentral:rRNA from 1 species
CAGGCCUAACACAUGCAAGUCGAACGAGGUUUGGUCAGUUUGCGGUGGUGCUUGCAUCACCAAUUACCGAUCAAACCGAGUGGCGGACGGGUGAGUAACACGUGGGUAACCUGCCCUUCAGCAGGGGAUAACAUUUGGAAACAGAUGCUAAUACCGUAUAACCACGGAGACCACAUGGUCUCCGGGUAAAAGAUGGCGCAAGCUAUCACUGAAGGAUGGACCCGCGGCGUAUUAGCCAGUUGGUGGGGUAACGGCCUACCAAAGCGAUGAUACGUAGCCGACCUGAGAGGGUAAUCGGCCACAUUGGGACUGAGAGCAGGGCCCAAACUCCUACGGGAGGCAGCAGUAGGGAAUCUUCCACAAUGGACGCAAGUCUGAUGGAGCAACGCCGCGUGAGUGA